UACGUAGGUGGCAAGCGUUGUCCGGAUUUACUGGGCGUAAAGAGCGCGCAGGCGGUCGUUCAAGUCGCGUGUGAAAGCCCCCGGCUCAACUGGGGAGGGUCACGCGAUACUGAUCGACUCGAAGGCAGGAGAGGGAAGUGGAAUUCCCGGUGUAGUGGUGAAAUGCGUAGAUAUCGGGAGGAACACCAGUGGCGAAGGCGACUUCCUGGCCUGUUCUGACGCUGAGGCGCGAAAGCUAGGGGAGCAAACGGGG
rnacentral:rRNA from 1 species